rnacentral:lncRNA from 1 species
CAGUGUUUAAUUUUUUUCAAUUUUUUUUUGUGUCAGUUAAUUGCUACGUAUCUUAGUUAGGCUGUCAGAAGAUAAACGUAAGUAUGCAGCAAAACUAUUCAUAGUAGGUUGUGAUUGCCCCUAUACAAUUCACGAAGAGUAUUGGUGCAAUGGACCUAGCAUCGCAGGAAAAAUGCCACUGGUAACCAAUCUUGAUUUGGUAAAUUACCUGCUAUGUUCCAAGUCUCCAUACAUGCAUGAAGAUUUAAAGGCUUACAAGGGCCUUGAGACCUACAAGAGAUUUAUCGAUGGGGGAAUUGGAUCAUUUUGUGCAAUCAGUCUUUUAAACAAAAAUUUGUUGAUGAAAGCGAAGGUUAUUACUCUUCAUUUGUUUAUUUGUAACAUUACUAUAACACAUAACUUUUUGUUGUCAUAACGUAUGAAUAAAUUAUACUUCAUAAUUUGUAUUACCUCUUGAACAUUUAAAAUUACUCUUCUUGACUCUCUAUCCAUGGCUGACUUAGCGUUAACAUACACUUUGUCAAGAUUCAGGGAUGGGGCCCAGUCUGGGUGUGUUUCUCCAGUGUACUAAAAUGGUUUUCCUGUGUGAUUUCAAAUAGAAGAAUUAGAUAGACACAUUCACUAUUAAUAAAUUUGUCGAGACUUA